ensembl:lncRNA
CUCGCCUUCUGUUUCCCCCAGUCAUGGGGCGCACGUGGCUCUCGGGCUCUCCCCCAGUCAUGGGGCUCGUGUGGCUCUCGGGGUCUCCCCCAGUCAUGGGGCGCACAUGGCUCUCAGGGCAGCAAAAGGAAAGGAGGAUUUUGUUCUGUUUAGAUGUGCUUUUCCAUCCCCAUCUUCUGAAAGUCAUAAUCUCCAAAUCUUCUGAAAUUUAACAACAGUCUCCAGAGGUUUCUCUGGCAGCAGGUCUCAGAAAUUUCAGAAGCACUGAGAAGGCCUGUAUCUGGAACUGAAGGAUUCAAGCAGGAUCAUGGGGACCAGAUCAAGCUUAACAUGGGACUCUUUCUAACAAGUCUGGAGUUGUCUCAGUGAGCAGGCUGCACAGAAUUUAAGCUGGGUCCCUGUUAAUAGGGGUAGGUCAUAUUCCCUCACCAGGAAGAUGUAUAAGCUCCUUUCCAACUCUUAGAUUUUCACAGUUGCAUAAAAUCUCCGUUCACUCUGAAACAUCUCAUGUAUCAGCAACCUUCACCAGCGAGGAGUGCAUGGGCCCUUCUAAGAGGGUUCUUUUUGCUACAGCACAACUUUCAGACAGUCCUGUGUGUCUUUGGAUUUGUCAGCAUUCCAGCAAACCAGCCCUCUUUAGAAAUUAGCAAAGGAUAGUGUGCUCUUUGAUCAGUUGUGUCUGACUCUUUGUGACCCCAUGAACUGUAGCCCACCAGGCUCCUCUGUCCAUGGGAUUCUCCAGGCAAGAGUACUGGACUGGGUAGCGCCAUUCCCUUCUCUAGGAUCUUCCCAAACCAGGGGCUGAACCCAGGUCUCCUGCAUUACAGGCAGAUUCUUUACCAUCUGAGCCACCAGGGAAGCCCCAGCAACAGUUCCCAAUAGGCAAAAUCAUAACCAUUCCAAAAAUAUUAAAUUUUUUCAUACACAUUUGCAGAUCCUCCAAAGACCACAGUUUUUUAAAUUCACUGUUACAAUCUGUACAAUUGCUGAAUGGUUGUAGUGAUACUUCUUAUCACCUACAUUUACUUUAUUCUGAUAUCUCAGAAUAAAUUUAUUGUCUUAGACCCCUAUCCACAAGCAAGUUGGGUAGAGCAUACCUGAAAUUCCGAGGCAUGAGGACAAAGUAAAAGCCCACCCCUCUCAAUUUGUGGGGAGAAGUGUACUCAUCUCUGCGUAGGGAGAAGCAGUAGUGUGAAAGAGAAGGCGUUGGUGGCUUUCAAUCCCUGGAGCCUGGCCUUGACGGCUGCCCUGAUCCCCGCCCUGUGGUUUUGUUGUGGGCAUCACUCACCACAGAUCCCAAGUGUCCCUGGGUGGCACAGGGAAUCCGAACUUCUCAGAAACUAGGGGCAGAUCAGAUCCACUGUGGUGGUCUAACACAGAGUUUCUUUUAAAUGCGGUCUAAUGCGGAGUUUCUUUUAAAUGCUUCAAAGACGUGUCCUUAAAAUUUCAGCCUGCUUAUUAACCAGUGAGCCAUUGUGCUUAGAACCAGUGCUGGAAAAAUGUUUUUUAAAAUUGCCAAAAAGUUAAAUGAAAAUGUACUAUAUAAAGCAAAGCUGUAUAUACUAAACAUUUUUUAGCAGAGUACUAUUUAUUUGCAUAGCCUAUUUAUUGUAUUCGUAUUACACUGUUUAUUAAAGACUGGGAUGAAGUCAACCAGAAGCAAGGACUCUUGAGUGCUGUGACCUUGUCAGCUUGCGUUAACAGUUAGAAGAUAGAAAACCUGCAAUCAGGGCGCCUACCUAACUUCUCAGGGACUACACUUUGUAGUUUUCCACCAUUAGAAGAGCUGGUAAAUAUGAAACACUUGUGGAAUUACCAGAAUUGCCAUUAACAGUAUUUUCUUUCUCAUAUCUCAUGCUUUCUGCUUCUGUACAUAUGACUGUGCUGUGUAUUUAUCAAAGCUAGUAAGCAAUAAUUUAUAUGUAAAAAUGGCCAAGCAAUAUAAGGUGAAAACUUACGUAAGUUACUGUUACCUUGUAUUUUCAAGUGUUUUUUUAAAAAACUGCUUUUCCAAAUAUAAGAUUAUGUUAAAGAUACACUA